AUAAGUUCUGAAAUAUAAAAAAUUUUUAGGUCAAAAAAAGUCAAUGGAAACGCAAUGGAAGGCAAUGUUACCAAAAAAAAUCCAUCAAAGGGAAGAGAACGGAGGUUGUAGGAGAUCAUGAUGCGCGAUAUCGGCGAUCAGUGAACACUUAUUCCGUUUCCGGUUCCGGUUCGUCGAGCCACAUCACUUUCCCAUGAAAUGAUCUCGCCUCCACGAGCAAAGCCUUUAUAUCGACUUGGUGAUUCAAAAAGAUCGCUGCCCCACCCUUUCAAUUUCGCGACACGCAAGCGAGUAUCUCAGGAUGAACUUACGUGUACAAUUUAUCCUCUGCAUUCUUCAUAUUUAUAAAAUACUGAUGCUGACUAGAAUUAGCCACUACAGUAUAAUUGAUUCUAGAUUGUCUGGCUAAUUGUUCCAAAGAUUGCACAGGAGACUAAAACGGUACACAAUAUAUUGCAAUAUUAUCUCUCAUUUUGAAAAUCAAAAGUAAGGAAAGCAGCUAAAUUAGCAGUGAAUGUAGCCAACAUUAAAACAACGAAUAACCAAUAAGCAGCAACUAGUAUCCUGCUUGAUAACGCUUUGGGUGCUUCGCCGCCACCUUGGGGUGUAAAAGACGUCAAGGCGAACCAGAAGCUCUCCUUCAACGUGAAUUCUCUAAACACAGAAUAUAAUUAGGUUAUACGACAAUCAUUAUCGAUUAAGUAAUUGCUUUGUCUUUAUGACAAUCAUUAACGAUAAAAUGUAGUGGUCAUUAAGGGUGAUUUAUAGUAAUCUUGAUCUAAUUCCAGCAAAUGACCAAAGAUAUUGACGCGAACAUUACUAUAAUAAUAAUAAUAAUUAAUUUAAAUUUCCAUUAAUGAGACUUCGAUAAUUAAUAAUUUUUAUAAUUAAUAUUUUAGAAAUUUUAAAAUUAUUACCGACAAGGAUACGGAUACAAUUGUUUAUUAUUCCUGGCGCUGUAAGGAGAAUAUUUGUCAAGUAUCCAAAUCAUGAUGCCAGUUAAUGUCAAAGCUCCUACGAUGCUUAACCACACUUCGACUUUGAGUACUGUCAUAAAUUUGAAAAGGGAUGGUUUGCGGACAGGUUUCCUCAUUACUUAUAACAAAAAAUUAAAAAAAAAAAAAUCGUAUAAUGUAAAAAUUUGUUAACAUUUAAAUUAAAAAUAGUUAUAUUAUUUACCAAUUAAUAAGCCGGAUUGUUCGAAGUAAGGGGCGACGAAAUCGAUCACUUCCUCACGUUCUGAAGUCAUUGUCAAUGCAGCAACUAUGAUAUCUGUCUCCUAAAAAAAAUAAUUAUAAAAAAGAAGUAAAACAUGAUAAAAAAAUAAAAGAAAGAAAUAGAUUCAUAAAAGAAGAAUAUUAAUUUGAAGGAAAAAUUGAAAUUAAAGGAGAUGAUAUUUUACACUAAGAGGUAUGCAUGGUUGCAGACUCAUAGGCGCCAUCAAGUUCAAUAUAUAGGGUAGGUAUUAAGAAAAUUUUGACAUUUCUUUAAUAAGAUGAAAAAAAAAAAAAAUAAAGAUUCACAGAUGCCAUGAAAUUCAGUAUACAAAUCUUACUCCUUUAGCUAGAUCACCAAUCAAGCCAUUCCAUUGUCCAUUAGGUAAUUUCUUGCCAAAUUGUCGAUCUUCAG